rnacentral:tRNA from 1 species
GGUUGGUUAGCUCAGCGGGAGAGCAUACCCUUCACAGGGGUGGGGUCAUGGGUUCGAAUCCCAUACCGACCACCA